UUUGCUGUAGCUUAAUUUAAAGUGCUUGAUUCUUACUCAUGUGAUGUCUUUGUUGACCGGUGAUA
rnacentral:tRNA from 1 species